rnacentral:lncRNA from 1 species
UGAUGAAGGAGCAAUGCUGAGGUUUUUCUUUUGCCUUUUAAUUUUUUCUGAUAGUAACAAACGUUGAUCCUUAAACUGAUCUGAGAUCCAAAUAACAUGGGGAAUCUAAUAAUAGAUUGUGCCAAACAAUUAAACACAAGAUAUUUUAGAGAGACUACCGGGAAACUAACAUGCAUGAAAGAAAUUACUUUGUCAUAGACUGCUGAGUACCAUGAAGCAAUCAAGGACUAAUAGUUCUAUACCAAUCACAAACAAAAACAACAAAAAUGACUUGUAUGAACAAGCUUAGCAAGAAGCAAUAAAGCAGGCGAGGUAAAGUAUACAAUGCCAUGUUAUAAAACAUUGGCAUGGUAAAAAUGCCGAGCUGGUUGACAUGUACCUUUGUCUUAAAGUUAGCAAAGAUAGAGUCCUGAAUACGUAAGGGGCAAAAUCUACUUAGAAACCAAGCACGUACCACGUUGUAGCUUACUGGUUGAUAUUAUAUGGUACAUGGUUAUACACACACACACAUAGAGAGAGAGAGAGAGAGAUCUAGUCUCAUCUUCGAUCUUUUCUGAGGUGGCAAGAGAAACUUGCUCAUGAACUUUGUUUUCUGGAUUCAAAGCAGAGAAUUCUACAAGUCAAUGUAACAAUAACUCCUCAUUAUAAAUAGAAUAUCUGGAAGUUAGUUAUUCAACAAU